GACGAACGCUGGCGGCGUGCUUAACACAUGCAAGUCGAACGGUGGACGAGGAGCUUGCUCCUCCGAUCAGUGGCGAACGGGUGAGUAACACGUGAGCAACCCUGCCCCAGACUCUGGGAUAACAGUUGGAAACAGCUGCUAAUACCGGAUACGAGACGGAGAGGCAUCUCUACCGUCUGGAAAGUUUUUCGGUCUGGGAUGGACUCGCGGCCUAUCAGCUAGUUGGUGAGGUAAUGGCUCACCCAAGGCGACGACGGGUAGCCGGCCUGAGAGGGCGACCGGCCACACUGGGACUGAGACACGGCCCAGACUCCUACGGGAGGCAGCAGUGGGGAAUAUUGCACAAUGGGCGAAAGCCUGAUGCAGCGACGCCGCGUGAGGGAUGACGGCCUUCGGGUUGUAAACCUCUUUCAGCAGGGAAGAAGCGCAAGUGACGGUACCUGCAGAAGAAGCACCGGCUAACUACGUG
rnacentral:rRNA from 1 species